GUCCUAGCCUUAACGAUGAUGACUUGGUGUGUCGGGUUUUCAGUCCCGAUGUGCCGGAGCUAACGCGAUAAGUCAUCCGCCUGGGGAGUACGGUCGCAAGACUGAAACUCAAAGGAAUUGACGGGGACCCGCACAAGCGGUGGAGCAUGUGGUUUAAUUAGACGCAACGCGAAGAACCUUACCUGGGCUGGAACGCUAAGGACCGGAGUUCAAAAACUACCUUUCUUAGGGAAACAUAAGACCGAAACGAGGUGCUGCACGGCUGUCGU
rnacentral:rRNA from 1 species